rnacentral:rRNA from 1 species
AAUAUUGGUAAAAAACAUAGAUCUUCGAAUCUCAUAUGGGAUUGACACCUGUCCAGUGCGAAAAGGUCAAGUGACCCAAUAACUGUGUGGCUGACGACUGAAGUCCCUAUAAAUGGCAACCGUGACAUGGAGAUCCUAAAAUAGAAAAAUUCCUUGUUGGCUAAAUUUCAACCUGCACUAAUGAAGUGAAA